rnacentral:lncRNA from 10 species
UGAGUAUGUAUGAAAAGAAACUGUGUAAAACCCCACUGGAUGAAGCUUUCCAGGAACUUGUUUCCAAAUGAUUGCCUUAGUAAAUGUUAAUGUAGACAAGUGAUUAAAGAAGCAUGAUCAGAAUGAUAAUUGAAUAGACAGGGAUGAACACAUGAAACUGCAAGGAUUCAUGGGGUGCCUCUUAUGUUCUCAGCAAUGUAUUAAGCACUGUGGGAGUGUACAGAACAUUUGUGGUGUUUUGUGUUCAAAUAGCAUGCAUUUCUUCUUCCUAACAGGAACAAGAUGUCUCCAGAGUUAAAUACAUGAAUUAAAUGCAAUUUCAAUGGAUGUCCCAAUGUUUUAAAUUGAAUAACAUGACUUUAAAGAAGAUAUGGGAAACUUCAACUCCCAGAAAAAUGAAGUAGAUACAUACUUCUCUAUUCCUUCCACUAAGUACAACUGAAAACCGUGACACUAUAUAUAAAACAAACAUAAGAAGACUCUGAAAGGCAAGAAUGGGUUUUCUUUUGCCUCCUUUAUUCCAGACUUGUAACUGAAGAAGCCAUCAACCAAGAAAUUUCCAACAGACCCAGAUGGAAAAAGUCCCAGUGAAAGCCUGUUCUUUAGCCAAAGGGGCCAGAAAAGAGCAAGAUAGCAGGACAAGUGUCAUUGAGGAGAAUUUGCCUAGGAGAUGCAAAGAGAGAGAAGCCUAUACUUUGAGGGUGGAAGCCCCUCCAACAGAUCUCUGCCAUCAUGUGAGAGAGAGCCUGAGUUAGCCUGCUGGAUGGUCAAAGAUGAGUGGUGCAGCUAAGUGAAAGCCUGCUGACUUGUAGACAUAUGAGUAAGGCCAUGCUUGAUCACCUGGCUGCCAGCUGGCCUGCCAACUAAUUGCAGGUACUUGAAAGAGUCCAGCAGAGAUCAGCCACCCCAGGUCAAAUAAACACCCAGCCCCCUCCCUGAGAAUGAUGAACUAAAUAAAUGUCUUAAGUACUAAGUUUUGGGUGUUUGCUACAUAGCAAAAGCUAAUUGAUACUGUUCCCAAGGAGUGGAAAACUUCUGUAACAAAAAACAAAAAAUUCUGGCAUUGGUUUUGGGAUUGGGCAAUGGGUAGAGGCUAGAAAAAUGGCAAGGAAGCUGCCAUAGCAACCUAGAAAAAUGGCAACCCAUGCUAUAAAAUAGGGCAAUUGGUCAAUAAUUUUUGAAGUGGUUUGUUAUGCAGCAAUAGCCUACUGAUACACCAUGUGAAUUAUAGCAAGGAAUAGCUAAGGCAAAACAAAACAUUGGAUGAGUAGCAUAGUUCAUUCUAAAGAACCACUAAGGCUUGCUCAGGAAUAUGUACUAAUUCAGGUGGCAUCUGUUAACUAUCACUGAGCAUAAUAUUGGAGGAUAAAUCUGCUUUGCUUAUUGCCACCCCCGUAGCUUAGAAGCUACUCCUAAAACAGCAAGGAUGUCACUGUGGCAGUGGGCAAGGAUUAAUUCCCUCAUUUAUUUAUUCAUUUAUUAAUUCAACAAA